rnacentral:tRNA from 1 species
GGGCGAGUGGUGAAAUCGGCAGACACGACAGACUUAAAAUCUGUUGGGAGCAAUCCCGUGCGGGUUCGAUUCCCGCCUCGCCCACCA